GACAGAGGUGCCAAGCGUUAGGCGGAAUCACUGGGCUUAAAGCGUGUGUAGGCGGAAUGGUAAGUACCUUGUGAAAUCCCACGGCUCAACCGUGGAACUGCUUGGUAUACUGCUUUUCUUGAGCCACUUAGGGGCAAUCGGAACAAACGGUGGAGCGGUGAAAUGCGUAGAUAUCGUUUGGAACGCCAAUGGUGAGAACAGAUUGCUGGGAGUGUGCUGACGCUGAGACACGAAAGCCAGGGGAGCGAACGGG
rnacentral:rRNA from 1 species